UACGUAGGGUGCGAGCGUUAAUCGGAAUUACUGGGCGUAAAGCGUGCGCAGGCGGUUCGUUGUGUCGGUGGUGAAAUCCCCGGGCUUAACCUGGGAAUUGCAGUCGAUACUACUCAGCUAGAGUAUGGGAGAGGGCAGUGGAAUUCCCGGUGUAGCGGUGAAAUGCGUAGAUAUCGGGAGGAACAUCAGUGGCGAAGGCGGCUGCCUGGCCCAAUACUGACACUCAGG
rnacentral:rRNA from 1 species